UGUGGACAUUAUGGAAGCUGCAGCUGCUUCCACCCAGCUGCUGUGGUCAAAAAGGAGCCCAGAGUGACAGUUUUCCCUGAUGGUCAACAUUCUGGUUUUUGUAACUGAUUUGCAACAUUUUGGGAAAGUACAGUU
rnacentral:snoRNA from 12 species